AGGAUGCCCUGCGGGGACACGGACGUGGUCGAGGUUAGCUCAAUUAAAGCAAACUGCACUUUUUUUCCAUGGACUAAUGCUGCUCCUUCCUCUGAGCAGGCGUGCCCUGUUGGUGUGUAUUUGCACUCACCGCUUCAACGUGACACCAAGGGACUAAUCUGGGCACCUCCAGCAGGCUCGGCGUGCAAACGAGUCUCUCCGAAGUGGCUGUUAUUAAAAACCAGGAGGAAAGAGCAGAGAGCCCUGCCUCGCACAGAGGGCGGUGCAGGGGGAGAAGGUGAGCUUUUCUUUCCCAAAUGCCAUUUGACAUCCAACACCUCCGCUUUCGUGCCGCAGCCCUCUGUGUGGAACACGAUAACAGGAGCUGAAAUAGCUCGCCUGCCCUGCUCGUUCCCCCAGCGGAGGGCUGGGGCUCUGCCUUGCCCUUUUGUUUGUGGGUGUGAGAGGAACGGGGCUGUACGAAAGCCAGACGGGACUUUGCAACGCUGGGCCUGCUUCAUCCCAGCUAUCAGAAAGCUGAGCAAAACGCGUGUGUUACUUUUACACCUAACCAUUAUAACCCCAGGAGCCUUUUCCAGUUUCAAAUAAUAAUAAUAAAAAAAAAGGUUUUGUGAACUCAUUUGUGUGCUUUUUUUUUUUUUUGUGUUAUUCCAAAUAGAGGUUUCGGCUGAGUUGCACCUUCCUGAUGUGCAGCACCCUGUCUUCUGUCUCCUGAUGAGUUAAUUUCUCCCUUGUUCUUUUAUUUGGUGAGCAGUUAACCUGACCUCCAGCACACGGAGGGCACAAACCUUAGCUGCAGAAUCCCACCUCUUUCCUAGUCCUUUUUCUCUUUUUCCCCCCUACACCAACCACACACAGCUCCUCUCCUGGGGCGCAUGUGGUGCCCAGCUCUCCCUCCUUUUCCAAAACAGUGAUUCUGCUGAAAAAGCAGAAUUUGGACUUGCUGGGGAGUUGUUCACCCUCACGCUGUGGGUCUUGUGUCUGGGUGUGCACAAAGCCGCCUGGAGGAGCCCCCAGGUCCCUGCACGUGGCCCCGGUGCUGCUGGCAGCGUUUUUCGGAAGCUGGGAGUUGUGCUUCCAGCCUCACAGCUUGCCUCUGCCAGUAAGUUUCUUGGCAGAAUUGUUGAGAG
rnacentral:lncRNA from 1 species